CCUACGGGAGGCAGCAGUGAGGAAUAUUGGUCAAUGGACGCAAGUCUGAACCAGCCAUGCCGCGUGCAGGAAGACGGCUCUAUGGAUUGUAAACUGCUUUUAUACGGGAGUAAACUCCGGUACGCGUAUCUUUCUGUAUGUAUCUUACGAAUAAGGAUCGGCUAACUCCGUGCCAGCAGCCGCGGUAAUACGGAGGAUUCAAGCGUUAUCCGGAUUUAUUGGGUUUAAAGGGUGCGUAGGCGGUCGGAUAAGUUAGCGGUGAAAGCCCGUGGCUCAACCUUGGAAUUGCCGCUGAUACUGUUAGGCUAGAGAGUAGUUGCGGCAGGCGGAAUGCAUGGUGUAGCGGUGAAAUGCUUAGAGAUCACACAGAACCCCGAUUGCGAAGGCAGCUUACCAAGCCACGUCUGACGCUGAGGCACGAAAGCGUGGGGAGCAAACAGGAUUAGAUACCCGAGUAGUC
rnacentral:rRNA from 1 species